rnacentral:lncRNA from 1 species
UUAAACUCUAUUCAUGGGUGGAGCCUAAUUUUAAGAAAUUAAAAGAGAGUUGUUAUGUGAAUUUUUUAUCAGUACAGAUUACUUCACAACUUUUGAUUCGUUGUAGAAGUGUUAUGUAAAGAGAAUACUUAUAUUCUUUCAGCUUAUAUAUAUAAUUGUUAUUACUUGUUGGGCACUCAAAUGCUCAUCCUUGCUUAAAUUAAAUGUUUUCAGUUAUGUAUGAGCAACCUGAAGGCUCAGGCACGAACAAGGGGAAAGGAAUGCUGUUCGAAUGAGUUUAUAUUAUGAGUUAAUGGUUAUAGUUAGUAAGACAAUGGAAUCUAUUGUCAGAUAUUGUAAGGAAUGUAUUUGAAGGUCACGUACCUGGGGAAGUAAACUUUGAUGUAUAUAAAUUAAGUUCGAAUGUAUUAU